AUAGAUAUAAUCUUUAAACUUAAAGAAUUUGGCGGUAUUAUAGUCUAUUUAGAGGAAUCUGUUAUGUAAUCGAUAGUCCACGUUGAACCUUACUUAUAUUAUUUCUUGUAUAUCGCUGUUUAGAGAAUACUUUUAGGUUAAAUAUUUUCUUAAAUAAUAUUAUUUAAUAAUUCAAGUCAAGGGUGCAGUAAUAUAUAAGUUGAAUAAUGGAUUNACAAUAAAUUUUUAUUUAAAUGGAUGAUGAAUUUAAUAUAAUUUUGAAGGUGGAAUUUAAAAGUAAUUUUUAUAAAGAUUGUUAAAAUGA
rnacentral:rRNA from 1 species